rnacentral:piRNA from 1 species
UGAUUCCCAAGAUAUUUCCAGGUGUUCA